GACGGCCUUCACCCGAGACCCCCAUUAUCAACGCCUCUUUCCGGGCACCAUGCGGCGCUGCGGGAGACGCCGAGCGUCAAUCCAGUUCCGAUGAAGAACGAGCUAAUUGAGUUUCAAUACCAGCACCGACCCAUCGCCGCCCCUAGGCACAAUGCGAAAAAUGCUGCCCCAAGGAAACAACGCCACCUCUCGUUUGUCUUCUAUCUUCCUUCUCAGCCUUGCGAUAUUUUUCAGAGUUACCUGGAAGGUGGGUAAAACCACAGCAGAUGGAUUAGUCAAACUGAACAUGAUAAUGGAUUACUGAAGACAGCAAAUGAAAAGCGGCGAGUGUUGUAACUUAGAGUAAUUAUUUAUGUCUUACACAAUACUGCUGCCAGAAAACAACGAAUUUCACCGUGUGUGUUGGUGAUAAUAACCUAACUCUCAUUCUGACACGGUGCCUGGAGCUAUGUGAUUUUUUAAGGUUAACUUGUUGGGAAUUGCUGAAACCUCAUCUGGCGGUGGAGCUGGUACUGCUAAAAUGAUUGAUACCUGUGACUUCUUGAUGGAAAACGCUCCCCAAGUGUGUUUUAGAGAUAGGAUGUCUCAAUAGUAAAGGAGUCUUAAUGUAAAUCCUAGAAUCUGAUCAUAUCAAUUGGCUUAGUUAACUUUUGUGCUCCUGAAGCGACUCAUGGCUGGUAAGUGGACACAUUAUGGUCCAUCAAGGGCACAGCCCUCCACAGCAUUGAAAGCAGCUUCAGGAGGUGCUGACUCGAGAAUGCGGCAUCUCCCCUCCAGGUCAUGCCUUCUUCUUGAAGCUCCUGUAUUCUGCUAGAAAUGAUUGUUGUCAGAUAGGAACUUGUUCUAAUUAGGAGCAUAAGGGAUAUAUUUACUUGCAGGUUGGUUAUAUUUCAAAAUGUUAUAUAUUUUUUGAAAGUGUUGCUUCCUCAGAAUUAUUUUUGGUUAUGAUAGAUCACCGGAAGCAAAACAAAAAUAUAAUUUCAGACUACCUGUGUCAUGUAGGAAUUUGGAAAAACAAGAAAUUAACUUUUAUUGAAUAUAAUUCAUAUAAUUGCAUAACAAUGCUGAUGUUUUACAAUAGUUCAAUUAAGCUAAAAAUAUUUUGUUAAUAAAUUUUGUUUGUACUCAGUGUCUGAGGCUUCUUGCUUAAAUGUCCAACAAUAAUCAGCCAGCGUUGAUGGAUUCCAGUUGCCCUGAUACUGUUUCUCUAUGACCGUGAUGUCUUGGUGAAACCUUUCCUCAUGCUCAUCACUGACAGCACCAAGGUUUGAGGGGAAGAAGUCUAAAUGGGAACGCAGAAAACAAAUCUUUAGUUUCAUGUUGCACUCCACGGUUUUGUAUGCUUGAAGCAUGUUGUCAACCAGUUGUAUGUAGUUGUCAACCAGUUGCAUGUAGUUUGAUGCUCUGUAGUUGCCAAGAAAAUUUUCAACAACAUCCUUGAAUGCCUUCGAUGCGAUUUUCUCUGGUCCCACUAGAAGUUCUUAGAGUUGCCUUGUCAUUGAUGGCCUGUUUGAUUUGUGGACUAUCAAAAAAUGCCUUCCUUAAUCUUGGCAUCAGUUAUUCAGGGAAACAUCUGUCUCAAAAUCAAAAUCCUUCACAGAAAUUUUUGUACUUGGUAACAACAAAUUCUAUUCUUGCAGUCUUGAACCUAGUAAUUCUGCUUUUACCUUUGACAAACCAAGUCAUUUAAUUCAGAUUGAGUUAUCAGAUGAGGCUCACUUAACAUAAAGAGUUCAAAAUAUGUAUCAGUAUCAGUGUUGUUUUCCAUUCCUGACUUGUGCAUCAUGAUAUCUACACCUGCCUCCUCUAAACUCCAUGUCUCUGGUGGCUUCAGUACUGGAAGACUAUUGUCAUGCGGCACAUGUCUCAUGGCUGAAGGAAGACUGGGGUAUUCAAUGGACUUGCUGUUCUUAGCUGAAAGACCAGACACACUGGUCAGAGAGAAGUAGCAGUCUGUCACAAGAUCCUUCUGCUCUGGCCACAUUAUCGACAGCAAACAGCAUUGACUACCGAGUACCCUGGAGCCGAGUUCUAAGGUCGACAGCGCAUGCUGUACAACCAGUGUGAGGAGCCCAGGCUUUGUCUUGGUCACCAAGUUUACACCCAAAGUAGAGCUUUCUUAGUAAGAGGAGUCAUGCUCCACCUUUGAGAUUCAAGCAUAUACUAGCCACAAAUAUAACAGAAAGUGUCGCAGUUGUUACAACAUUGGUGAGACAUUUUGCUAUCACAAAUACUCCUGUAAAUACAAAUACUUUAUUAUAAUGAGUACACAGAAUAUACUAUGUGUGUAGAGCAAGCGCAUCAAUGUGAUUGUAAACUGAUAUACAUGUAAAGGCAAUGCAUAGAACGGUGUGUGCGUGAUGCUUUUAGAGCCUUUCUAAAACCUGUCCUGCUCAGUCAUGCCUGAACAAGGUAGAAAACUUUUCAGUUUGCAUUUUGGGCAACAUUUUAAUUGACUUGAAUUCUGAGUUGAAAUAACAUAUAUAGGCGAUGUUUGAAAAAUGGUGAAUGAUAGGGAAAUUUCAUGGUGAUUUUCAUAAUCAACAGUCCAAAAUCCACAAGAUACACCCAAAAGUAUUCAGGAAGCAAAAUAUUUGUUGUCCAGUGUAAUCAGUAAAAACUAAAAUGUGUGAUCAUGUGCAGUGUGAUAAUCUAUUGGAAAAAGAAAUAUAACAUUUUUAAGACCAUAGACAUAUGAACAGAAUUAGGCCAUUCAGCCCAUUGACUAUGUACCACCAUUCAAUCGUGGUUCUUUUAUUUUCCCUCUAAACUCUAUUCUGCCUUCUCCCCAUAACCUUUAAUGCCCUUACUGAUUAAGUACCUAUUAGACAGCUAUUACAGAUAAUUCAUGCGAGACUCUUAGGUACACUGUCGAUUACAGUUCAUUCCUAUGGUUCAAUUUUUUUAGUUAUAUUUUCUGAUUAGGAUGGGGUUUACAAUUCCUUUCUCUCAGCAAGCUAAAUUUUUGACUGCAGUAGUGCAAUGUUCUUUAUAUUAUUCCUUUUAUCAACCUAGCUUUAUCUACACAGAUUCAAUAUGUAGUUUGGCAGGGUUUUGUUGUAAAUGAUGUUUGUGUCAUUCAGCAGGCCAACACUCAGUCACCUCAAGUAGUCUAUUCUCUUUCUGUGCUGGUGCAGGCAAGUUGACUUGAACACGAAACACUUGAAGAGACAUAUUGUUACACAGAACAUGGAAUAGCACAUACAUGUUAUGCUGAUCUUUUAACCUCCUCUAAGUUCAAUCUAACUCUUCCUUAAACCGAGGAAUUGCAGGUAGUAAUUAAAAUUCUUCGAGGAAGUGAUAAAACAAAUUGAUGGAUGUGGUUUAUAUGGAUUUUAGUAAGGAGUUUGACAAGGUUCCCCAUGGUAGUCCAUUCAGAAAGUCAGGAGACAUGGGAUCCAGGGAAAUUUAGCUAUGUGGAUACAGAAUUGGCUUGCCCACAGAAGGCAGAGGGUGGUAGCAGAUGGAGUGAAUUCUUCCUGAGGUUUGGUGACCAGUGGUGUGCCACAAGGAUCUGUUCUGGCACCCCUGCUGUUUGUGAAUUUUAUAAAUGAAUUGGAUGUGGAAGUGGAAGGGUGGGUUAGUUAGUUUGCAGAUGGCACAGAAGUUUUCUGGAUAGCUUAGAAGGUUGUCGUAAGUUACAACGGGACAUUAAUAUGAUGCAGAGCUAGGCUGAUAAGAGGCAGAUGGACUUCAAUCUGGAAAAGUGUGAAGGUCAAACGUGAAGGCAGAAUACAGGAUUCUUAUUUGCAGGAUUCUUAGCCGUGUGGUGGAACAGAGGGGUCUUGGGGUCCAUGUCCAUAGAUCCCUCAAAAUUGCAACAAAAGUUGAUAGGGUGCUUAAGAAGGUGUAUUGUGUUGGUCUUUGUUUGUUGGGGGAUUAAGUUCAAGAGCUGUGAGGUGAAGUUGCAGCUCUGUAACACUGGUUAGACCACACUUGGAAUACCGAGUUUGGUUCUGGUCACCACAUACAGGACGAAUGUGUAAGCUUUAGAGAGAGUGCAGAGGAGAUUUACUAGGAUACUGCCUGGAUUGGACAGCAUGGCUUAUGAGGUUGGGUUGAGCAAGCUGGGGCUUUUUUUUACUUUGCAGCAAAGCAGAUUGAGAAGUGACUUGAUAGGGUGUACAAGAUGAUAUGAGGCAUGGAUUGCAUGUACAGCCAGAGACUUAUUCCCAGGGCAGAAAAGGCUUGUACCAGGGGGCAUCAUUUUAAGGUGAUUGGAGGAAGGUAUAGGGGGACGUCAGAGGUAAGUUUUUAUACAGUGUUGAGUGUGUGGAAUGUGCAGCCAGAUGUGGUAGUGAAGCGGAUACAUUAGGCUCAUUUAAGAGACUCUUAGAUAAGACCUUAAGAUACAGGAGUAGAAUUAGACCAGUUGGCCCAUUGAAUCUGCUCUGCCAUUUCAUCCUGGCUGAUCCAUUUUUCCUCUCCUGCUUUCCCCACGUAUCCCUUCAUGCCCUGACCAAUCAAGAAUCUAUCAACCUCUGCCUUGACUAUACAUAAAGACUUGACCCCCACAACCGCCUGUGCAAAGAAUUCCAGAGAUUCACCGCUCUUUGGUUAAAGAAGUUCCCCAUCUCCAUUCUAAAAGGACGUCCCUCUGUUCUGAGGCUGUGUCCUCUGGUCCUUGACACCCCCACAUUCUCUCCACAUCCACUCUAUCAAGGCCAUUCACCAUUUGAUCUGUAAGCCCACAGAUAAUAGAAAAAUGGAGGUCUGUGUGGGAAGGAAGGAAGGAAGAUUAAAAGAUUGGCACAACGUUAUGGGCCAAAGACCAGUACCAUUCUAUGUCCGAUGUUCUAAAGUGAUAUUCCUUUGCUAUUUUAACAUAAGUACUCACCUAUUUAUUUGCAAUGGGCCAGUACCUUAUUUAAAAUAUCAGGCAAAGAAGUAAUACCCUUAGAUGUAUAUCUAUUGUGUCAUCAAAAUUAACUUGUCGUCUGUAAUUUCAAAGUAAGUCAUUUUAAUUUUGUGACAUCAUAUGCUCCUUAAUUGCAUUAACUCUUUGGUCCUACAAGCAGAAUGAGGAGUCAGCUGUCAGACGUGUGAAGUGCACUUUCUGUUCCAUUACAGAAGCAGCUAUGUUGUUCUUCAUUCACAGAAAUAUGCACACAUAUUUACCUUAAUUAACAUUGCUAAAACAAAUUGCUAUUAUCAUAUCGCUGUCAGCAUUCUGGCUGAUAUAAUAUCUGCAUUAUGAGAAUGACUAUACCUCAGAGUAUUUUACUCAUUGCAAGUCACUUUGUCAUGUCCUGAAGUCAGAAAAGAUGUUUUAUAAAUGUAUUCCAAGCAAAUUGCAGGGACUGUCAAACCCUUUUAUGGAGUGUUGCUGCAAUCACAUUCAUAGUAUGCAAAAGUUUGGAGAUGAUGGCAUCCUACAUUGGAAGAUAAAAAAGAUGCAAAUUACAACUUCUGGCUCAUUAGAUUUAAAACUCUUAUCCAUAAGACCAUAAGAUAUAGGAGCAGAAUUAGGCCAUUUGGCCCAUCAAGUCUGCUCCACUAUUUCAUCAUGGCUGAUCCAUUUUCCCUCUCCACCUCAAUCUCCUGCCUUCUCCCCGUAUUCUGCCAUGCCCUGACUAAUCAAGAAUGUAUUAACGUCUCCUUUAAAUACAGUACAUCCAAUGACUUGGCCUCCACAGCCACCUGUGGCAACAAAUUCCACAGAUUCACCACUCUUUGGCUAAAGAAAUUCCUCCUCAUUUCCAUUCUUAAAGGAUGCCCCUUUAUCUGAGGCUGUAUCCUCUGGUCUUGGACUCCCCCACCAUGGGAAAUAUCCUCUCCACAUCCACUCUAUCGAGGCCUUUCAACAUUCGAUAGGUUUCAAUGAGGUCACCCCUCAUUCUUCUCAAUUCCAGUGAAUAGAGGCCCAGAACUAUUGAAUGUACCUUAUAUGACAAACCUUUUAAUCAUGAACCUCUUUGGAACCCUCUCCAAUGUCAGCACAUCCUUUCUUAGAUAAACGGCAAAAAACUGUUCACGAUACUCCAAGAGAGGCCUCACCAGUGCUUUAUGAAGCCUCAACAUUACAUCCUUGCUUUUAUAUUCUCGUCCUCUUGAAAUAAAUGCUAACAUUGUAUUUGCUUUCCUCUCCACUGCCUCAACCUGCAAAUGAACCUUCAGGGAAUUCUGCACAAGGACUCCCAAGUCCCUUUGCACCUUUGAUUUUUGAAUUUUCUCACCAUUUAGGAAAUAGUCAACCCUUUUAUUUCUUUUACUGAAGUGCAUGACCAUACACAUUCCGAUACCGUAUUCCAUCUGCCACUUCUUUGUCCAUUCUUGUAACCUGUCUAAGUCCUUCUGUAGCUUCAUUACUUCCUCAAAGCUACCUGCCCCUCUACCUACCUCCAUAUCAUCCGCAGACUUGGCCACAAAGCCAUCCAAGUCAUUAACAUAUGACGUAAAAAGAAGCGGUCCCAACACAGACCUCUGUGGGUCACCGGUGGCCAACCAGAAAAGGCUCCCUUUAUUCCCAUUCUUUGCCUUCUGCCAAUCAGCCAAUACCUUAUCCAUGCUAGUAUCUUUCCUGUAAUACCAUGGGCUCUUAACUUGUGAAGCAGCUUCAUGUGUGGCAACUUGUCAAAGGCGUUCUGAAAAUCCAAGUACACGACAUCAACUGAUUUCCUUUUAUCUAUCCUGCUUGUUAUUUCUUCAAAGAAUUCCAGCAGAAUUUUCCUGUGAAGAAACCAGGCUGAUUACAGCCUACUGUGGAAGGGUCUCGGCCUGAAACGUCGACUGUACCUCUUCCUAUAGAUGCUGCCUGGCCUGUUGCGUUCACCAGCAUUUUUUAUGUGUGUUGCUUGAAAUUCCAGCAUCUGCAGAUUUCCUCAUGUUUGCCGGAUUACAGCCGCCUUUAUCAUGUCCUCCAAGUACCCUGAAACCACAUACUUAACAAUCAAUUCCAACAUCUUCCCAACCACUGAGGUCAGGCUAACUGGCCUAUCAUUUCCUUUCUUCUGCCUCUCUCCCUUCUUGAAGAGUGGAGUGACAUUUGCAAUUUUCCAUUCUUCCAGAACCAUGCCAGAUUGAAUUGAUUCUAGAAAGAUUAUUACUAAUGCCUCCACAAUCUCUUCAGCCACUUCUUUCAGUACCCUGGGAUGUACAUCACCUGGUCCAGAUGACUUAUCUACCUUCAAACCUUUCAGUUUCCCAAGAACCUUCUCCCUAGUAAUGGCAACUUCACUCACUUCUGCCCCGACACCCUCGGACUUCCAGCAUACUGCUUGUGCCUUCCACAGUGAAGACUGAUGCAAAAUACUUUAUUCAGUUCAUCCACAUUUCCUUGUUCUCCCAUUACUAUGUCUCCAGCAUCAUCUUCCAGCAGUCCGAUAUCCACUCUUGCCUCUUUUAUACUUUAUAUAUCUGAAGAAACUCUUGGUAUCCUCUAUAAUAUUAUUGGCUAGCUUACCUUUGUAUUCCAUCUUUUCCUUCUUUAUGACUUUUUAGUUGCCUUCUGUUGUUUUUUUAAAAGCUUCUCAAUCCUCUAACUUCCGACUAAUUUUUGUUCUAUUAUAUAUCUUCUCUUUGACCUUUAUGUUUGACUUACUCUUGUCAUCCUGCCGUUAGAAUACUUCUUCUUCUUUGGGAAGUAUAUAUCCUGCACAUUCUGAAUUGCUCCCAGAAAUUUCAGCCAUUGCUGCUCUGCCAUCAUCCUUGCCAGUGUUCUUUUCCAAUCAAUUUCAGCCAGCUCCUCUCUCAUGCCUCUGUAAUUCCCUUUACACCACUGUAAUACAUACCGACAUAUGUGACUUUAGUUUCUCCGUCUCAAAUUAUCAUCCGAUUAUAGUUUGCAGUUCAAUUAAUUUGUGUUCAGAACCGCUCAACAAUCAAGGGUUAUUUUAUGGGGUUUCUACUGCACCUGGUUCUGUAAGUUUCCUUUCAUAUUUUGGGCUUCAGAUGUACUCAGAGAUGGCAUUUCCUUCAACCUUCUGUCCAUCUGACUUCCACUGCACACAAACCAGCCUAUGCCUGCUUCAUCCAAAUUAUUCAUGAAAGGAAACAUUAAGGUUAUAGUAACCAUGGCUUUUCUCCUACUACCAAUUAGGGUUGAUCAGGUGCUGAUACAUCAUAAAAAAAAGCACUAAAACAUGAAGACUACAAUGAUGUCAUGAAAAUGUGUAGAUUGCUUGGUUUGUAUCUGCCAGUCAGUUGCAGUGCUUGUCAUGUCAAUCUGUGACUAUUAGCUUUACUUAAUCAUGAAAUAUAUCUUUUAAAUCACUCUUUGACCCAGAGAAGAUAUAUAGGGGAAGAAAAAGGAAAAACAACAGUAGACAACAAUGACAUUUUAGUGAAUUUCUGCUUGUCUGGGUGUCAUUUGUGAACCUCUGCAAGAAAUCCACCUCACUCAAACCACUCCGUUUGGUCCAUUAUGAUCAUUUUUAAACCUGCUGGAUCUUCGACGUUUAUGAUCUAAAAACAUCCAAGAAAUUAGUAAAGAUUUGUAACCUGGUGAAACAUGUAAUCCCAUGGGUUUGUAUAUUUCACUGAAUUGCAUAUGAUGAAACCACGGCCAAUAAUAAGAACAAGACCACACUGAGCCAAUAUUUAUGAAUUAAGGAUAUCUACUGGGUAUGGGUAGACAGGAAUGUCUGACCAGAAUGGCUUCUGGUCACAUUCUAAAUUAACAUUUGUUUCUUUUUGGAGCCCAAGGGUACUUACUACAGGAUAAAAAUGCAUUUUUAUAGCAAGCAGCACACUUCUCACUCCCUUUAUGAUCAAGACUUAAAUAUUAGGCCUGUCUGUUGACCAGGAGAGGGAACUCCUGCUUUACAGAAUCCCUACUCUGGUCCACCAUUAGUCAUUUAAGGAACAAGUAGACAUUUUGAGGAAACCCAAAAAAAUAGAAGAUUGCUGUUUUUCUGAGGUUCCUGGCUGUGUCCUACUCAAUCUUUGAUGAGAAAUCAAAGUAAACUCUGGUCUUGUCCUAGUACUGGUAGACUUUCCGUAGCCAAUAAAUGAAAAUCAAACAAAAAAUCUGCGGCAUCUGGAAAUAUGAAAUACAGAUCAAAAAAUCUGGAAGAACCCCACAAGUCUGGCAGUAUCUACAGACAGAAAAUGAGUUAACAUUUCAGGUCAAAGGCUUUCACUUUGAUGAAGGUUCUUCAACAAGAAACAUUGACACUUUUUCACUUUCCAUAGAUGCCGCCUGACCUUCUGUGUGCUUUCUGUCUUUAUGACUGUCCUGCUGUCCUCAUACUCAGAACUUUUGCACUAAAGUCUUACCCUGGACAAGUCUCAUAUUGGUAUUACAUGACCACAUCUAAUAAUCAGAAAACUUACUUGCAUUCUUCCAGAAGACACAGGGAACUUACUCUGAAAGUUCACAGUAUAUCUCAGCAUUUAACACUAACAACAUUUAUAAAUAAAUUGAAUAACAAACAUUUGUCUCAGUGUUUGGAAAUUGAUAUUAAUCUGAAUAUCAUUUGAAAUCAACUAAGAGCUAUUGAGUCUUUUGGAAGAGAGGACAAAGAUGGGAGUGCUGAAUGACUGAAAAGUCACUAAGUACAUAUUUAAUUGCAGCAAGGUGCACACCCAAAAUCAUUGUAAUGGAAUAAAAGAGGAGACUUUACUCAGGAGUGAAUUAGUGUUAUGGAAGUACAAUGUUUUGAUUGGAUUUGAGUACAAGUUUCUGAUCAUAUGCCACAUAUCAUUUAGAGAUUAGGAAUACAUCACAGAUAUCAUACAUUUUACAUCGUCUGACAAUGAGAUCAUUUUAAGAUUAGGUAAUGUUAUUUUCAUAAUAUCUAAAUAUUUUAUGUCUCUUCUGCAUACUGACUCCACGAAACUGUGUAGAAGUCAUUGUGCUUAGCUGAUGCUGUCCCUGGAGCUACUCAAAGGAUCUACUUCAACAUUAUUGUCAGGGCUGACUUAAGGUUAUUCGACCUGCCAUCGAACGUGUGUCUAUGUAACCCUGCCAGAUUAUUGAAUCAGGGUUUAUCUGUUACAAGAACUAAUUAAUUAUAUUUUGCUUAGUUUUAUUUCUGGCCUGAUGAUCACAAAGCAUGAUAAAUGGGACAGAACAAUGUAGUGAAAGGGGGGAGGGCAUACUGUGAAUUCCUUGUAGGAGGUUAAAAUGUUUUGGAAAUGUGAAAGGAUUAUGAAGAGGAUAUUGAAAUCUGGAUUUGUGGUGGGUAUUUGCUUGGCCUUUCUCUCACUUGCCAUAGUUUUGACAUUGGUAAUCUGGAGACUCCACAUUCAAAAGUUAGGUAUUUCAUAUCAAUACAGGGAAAUAGGAUCUGAGGCCUUGUAUGUCCCUUUCCUCCUGUUGCACCGUGGAG